UAGGGAAUAUUGGACAAUGGGGGCAACCCUGAUCCAGCCAUGCCGCGUGAGUGAAGAAGGCCCUCGGGUUGUAAAGCUCUUUUGUCCGGAAAGAAAAGCUUCGGGUUAAUACCCCGGGGUUCUGACGGUACCGGAAGAAUAAGCACCGGCUAACUUCUUGCCAGCAGCCGCGGUAAUACGAAGGGUGCAAGCGUUACUCGGAAUUACUGGCCGUAAAGCGUGCGUAGGUGGUUGUUUAAGUCUGAUGUGAAAGCCCUGGGCUCAACCUGGGAAUGGCAUUGGAAACCGGGCAGCUAGAGUGCGGUAGAGGGUAGUGGAAUUCCCGGUGUAGCAGUGAAAUGUGUAGCGAUCGGGAGGAACAUCUGUGGCGAAGGCGACUGCCUGGACCAGCACUGACACUGAGGCACGAAAGCGUGGGGAGCAAACA
rnacentral:rRNA from 1 species